AGUGAACGCUGGCGGCAGGCCUAACACAUGCAAGUCGAGCGGCAGCGCGGGGGCAACCCUGGCGGCGAGCGGCGGACGGGUGAGGAAUUCGUCGGAAUCUGCCUUUUUGUGGGGGAUAACGUAGGGAAACUUACGCUAAUACCGCAUACGUCCUACGGGAGAAAGUGGGGGACCGCAAGGCCUCACGCAGAAAGAUGAGCCGACGACCGAUUAGCUAGUUGGUGGGGUAAAGGCCCACCAAGGCGACGAUCGGUAGCUGGUCUGAGAGGAUGAUCAGCCACACUGGGACUGAGACACGGCCCAGACUCCUACGGGAGGCAGCAGUGGGGAAUAUUGGACAAUGGGCGCGAGCCUGAUCCAGCCAUGCCGCGUGUGUGAAGAAGGCCUUCGGGUUGUAAAGCACUUUUGUCCGGAAAGAAAUCCCUGGAGCUAAUACCUUCGGGGGAUGACGGUACCGGAAGAAUAAGCACCGGCUAACUUCGUG
rnacentral:rRNA from 1 species